AUUCCAUGUUGUGAGCAUUUACUUAGCAUCUCCUUGUACCUCUCCCAAGUGUCGUACAAGGAUUCAGACUCCAACUAUAGAAAGGAAGAGAUAUCACUCCUCAAGUU